UGAGGAUAUUUCUAUCUUAGCAGCAACACUUGCAUGGGGUGAUGCGCUGCAUUGUACAUUCAAGCAGGCCCUUCAAUCUUAUGAGUCAUCUUUAUGCCAGGCCAGCUGUCAUUUAUGGCCUGCUACAGAGGGAUGCAACUCCAGAUACAUAAAAUCUGCUCUCAGAAAGCUUAAUAUGGUAUGUGUGAAUGCUACUUCAAUGGUCACAGGAGAUUUUGGCUCUGAUCCCAU